UUUGGAUUCGUAAACAACGCAAAGAGAGAAGCUAAUUUUCUGUGCCAGUAAUUGUCAUAGGCAAGACUGAAGAGCGAAAUGAGUGGAGCAUGCGUUAAACAGUAGUAGAACAAAUAUCUCUUUCAUGUACCAGAUCCAACAGCACGCGUUAAACAGGAGUACAUCCUGAGCUUUCCAACUUCUGUUAUCACAUACAAGGUUUCCAACUUCUGUUAUCACAUACAAGUAAUCUCUAAUCAUCAUCAACCGUUGCAGUCCCAAGAAUACAUAUAUGAGGAAAAUGGAAGGAAAUAUUGUAGCUGCUCCAACUGACAUAGAAAGCUCGUACGAUCCAUUAGAAACUUUGAUAAAGAAGGUGGAUAGCUUGUCUCCCCCGUCCCCUUUGCGUUGCAUCUACCGGGUUCCGUAUCGACUUCGCCGUGUACACGAGGAGGCCUACACACCUCGUGUAAUCUCUAUAGGCCCAUUUCAUCAUGGAAAUGAAACCUUGAAAGCCAUGGAAGAUCACAAAAAGUGGUACCUUAAAUGUUUCAUGGGCCGAACCAGUUCAAAGCUGAAUGAUUGUGCAAGAAAAAUAGAAGACCAAGAAAAGAAAUUGCGGAGUUGGUACGGUGAGACCAUUGUGCGUAAAAGUGAUGAAUUUGUCACGAUCAUUUUUGUGGAUGCCAUCUUCGUCAUUGAGUU